UACGAAGGGGGCUAGCGUUGUUCGGAAUUACUGGGCGUAAAGCGCACGUAGGCGGAUACUUAAGUCAGGGGUGAAAUCCCGGGGCUCAACCCCGGAACUGCCUUUGGUACUGGGUAUCUCGAGUCCGGAAGAGGUGAGUGGAAUUCCGAGUGUAGAGGUGAAAUUCGUAGAUAUUCGGAGGAACACCAGUGGCGAAGGCGGCUCACUGGUCCGGUACUGACGCUGAGGUGCGAAAGCGUGGGGAGCAAACAGG
rnacentral:rRNA from 1 species